rnacentral:tRNA from 1 species
CCUUCGAUAGCUCAGUUGGUAGAGCGGAGGACUGUAGGAAAAAAAAGUACUUAGGUAUCCUUAGGUCGCUGGUUCGACUCCGGCUCGAAGGA